GCGGAUUUGGCAUAUUGGUUGUGCUCCAGUCUUCCAAACUGGCGAAAAGAGUUCGAUUCUCUUAUUCCGCUCCA
rnacentral:tRNA from 1 species